UCCUCACGUAAUCAUUAUUUUCAAUACUAUGCGAUCCAACUAGAAAUUUAAUACUAUCGCGUACCUUGUGAUCCAAGGUUAUAAUUUCAUACUUGUAGGUACUAGCAGUCCAGCAGCCUUAGAUAUUGAAGUACCGAUGCUUGGAGUUGCACCAUCAGAUUGAUGUCCCAAGAAGCUGUACAAUGUACCUGGAACAUAGUUUUAAGGGGCCAAUUUUGUUUCAGCUCUAGGCAGCGAUUUCUCAUGAAUCAUGAUGUUGCUUUUGUUUCAGAAUUCAGACCCUACUUGAUAAGAAGCACUGAUUCAAAAUUAUAAA